rnacentral:misc_RNA from 1 species
ACACAAAGUCACAGCUCAAACGCAAGGGCCGCGGGGGGUUCACGCCCCCUCUCAUGCUUUGAGCAUGUCACUUUUCAAACCCCCCUUUAUGUAAACUUUGUUUCUUGUAUUCCCGGGCCAAGUUGUUAUGUUAAAUAAUGAUUUGUGCCUGUUGGUUUCCAACCUUUUUAACCCCUUGAACUGUCUUGGACUGAAAUCUGAGUAAUGAAUUUUUAAAUAAAUUCCUUAUUCUGCCAUUAUAUCAAACGCUGAA